CCUACGGGUGGCAGCAGUGAGGAAUAUUGGUCAAUGGACGAGAGUCUGAACCAGCCAAGUAGCGUGAAGGAUGACUGCCCUCUGGGUUGUAAACUUCUUUUAUAUGGGAGUAAAAUGUUCCACGUGUGGGAUUUUGUAUGUACCAUAUCAAUAAGGAUCGGCUAACUCCGUGCCAGCAGCCGCGGUAAUACGGAGGGUCCGAGCGUUAACCGGAUUUAUUGGGUUUAAAGGGAGCGUAGGGGGAUUGUUAAGUCAGGUGUGAAAGUUUGGGGCUCAACCGUAAAAUUGCAGUUGAAACUGGCAGUCUUGAGUGCGGUAGAGGUGAGCGGAAUUCGUGGUGUAGCGGUGAAAUGCUUAGAUAUCACGAAGAACUCCGAUUGCGAAGGCAGCUCACUGGACUACAACUGACGCUGAGGCUCGAAAGUGUGGGUAUCAAACAGGAUUAGAUACCCUAGUAGUC
rnacentral:rRNA from 1 species